GAUUUCUUCUACGACUUCCUCGAACAACGAACUCAGCCUACAUUCAAGAACCUCAUCAAUCAGACUUCGAAGAUAUCAUUUGCGCGUAUGGUUGAUGGACUGGACAAGCAUCGCGCCUCGCUGGUUUCGUCAGAAUCAAAUGUGACACCGAGGGGUUAUGGCUUCACGGCCAGCAAGGACGUCAUGAUGAAGAUAAGACUUUGGAACGGCGGUGGAUCCACU